rnacentral:rRNA from 1 species
AUUGAACGCUGGCGGCAUGCCUUACACAUGCAAGUCGAGCGGCAGCGCGAGGGCAACCCUGGCGGCGAGCGGCGGACGGGUGAGUAAUACGUCGGAACGUGUCCUUUCGUGGGGGAUAACCAGUCGAAAGACUGGCUAAUACCGCAUGAGAUCUCACGAUGAACGCGGGGGACCGCAAGGCCUCGCGCGAUUGGAGCGGCCGAUGUCGGAUUAGCUAGUCGGCGGGGUAAAAGCCCACCAAGGCGACGAUCCGUAGCUGGUUUGAGAGAACGACCAGCCACACUGGGACUGAGACACGGCCCAGACUCCUACGGGAGGCAGCAGUGGGGAAUUUUGGACAAUGGGGGCAACCCUGAUCCAGCCAUGCCGCGUGUGUGAAGAAGGCCUUCGGGUUGUAAAGCACUGUCGGCCGGAACGAAAUCGCGCGGAUUAAUAACCCGCGUGGAUGACGGUACCGGAAGAAGAAGCACCGGCUAACUACGUGCCAGCAGCCGCCGUAA